rnacentral:rRNA from 1 species
AUUGAACGCUGGCGGCAGGCCUAACACAUGCAAGUCGAGCGAGCGGCGGACGGGUGAGUAAUGUCUGGGAAACUGCCUGAUGGAGGGGGAUAACUACUGGAAACGGUAGCUAAUACCGCAUACCAUCGGAUGUGCACAGAUGGGAUUAGCUAGUAGGUGGGGUAACGGCUAACCUAGGCGACGAUCCCUAGCUGGUUUGAGAGGAUGACCAGCCAAACGGGAACUGAGACACGGUCCAGACUCUUAGGGGAGGCAGCAGGGGGAAAUAUUGCACAUGGGGCGAAAGCCUGAUCCAGCCAUGCCGGGUGUAUGAAGAGGGCCUUGGGGUGGUAAAGUACUUUCAUCGGGGAGGCGUUACCCGAAGAAGAAGCCCCGGCUAACUCCUUGCCAGCAGCCGCGGUAAUA